AUUGAACGCUGGCGGCAUGCUUUACACAUGCAAGUCGAACGGCAGCGCGGGCUUCGUCCUGGCGGCGAGUGGCGAACGGGUGAGUAAUACAUCGGAACGUGCCCAGCAGUGGGGGAUAGCUCGGCGAAAGCCGGAUUAAUACCGCAUACGACCUGAGGGUGAAAGCGGGGGAUCUUCGGACCUCGCGCUCUUGGAGCGGCCGAUGGCCGAUUAGCUAGUUGGUGGGGUAAAGGCCUACCAAGGCGACGAUCUGUAGCUGGUCUGAGAGGACGACCAGCCACACUGGGACUGAGACACGGCCCAGACUCCUACGGGAGGCAGCAGUGGGGAAUUUUGGACAAUGGGCGAAAGCCUGAUCCAGCAAUGCCGCGUGUGUGAUGAAGGCCUUCGGGUUGUAAAGCACUUUUGGCGGGAACGAAAAGGACUGUGCCAAUACCACGGUCCGAUGACGGUACCCGCAGAAUAAGCACCGGCUAACUACGUG
rnacentral:rRNA from 1 species